GCUCUACCUUAUCUUUAUUAGCGUACCACAUCUGUACUUGUCCAACUUACAAUGGAUGCUCAAAAAUUAUAUGAAACAUCUGGAAAGCAAUUAUGGAACAACUCAACUUUGGGAAUAGAACUAUAGAAAAGGAAAAAUUGUCCUGUGGCUAUAAGAUGGAAUAUGAGUAGGAAUAGAAAUAAUAUACAGAAUCCUACUUGACAAAAGAAUUGUAAUGUCAGUGUCCUAUUUUUAAAAAGAUUAUAAUGUCAGUGUCCUAGUUGGAAAAGAGUCUAAUGUAGUGUCUAUAAAUAGGGUCUCAAUGUAAUAAUUUUGAUAAAACUGAAUUCUAUAAUAUUUUCUCCUUUAUUUCUCACAUGGUAUGAAAGACAAUGAUCCAUAUAGUUGUUUCUUGAUUCCGGCUAGUUUCCGGCAAUCAAAUCCAAUUUUUCCGGCGACUAAUUUCUUUUUUCAGAUUCUAGCAACAUAUUUCCAAAUUUUUUGAUUGGUUUAUAGUUCUAUGAUUAAAUCUGAACCCUUAAUGAGGAGAUUAGAAUAUCAAACGUUAUAAGUCCAUGAAGAAUCGACGAGGGGAGGUUGUUUUGGAAGAUCUCGAUCUAGGUGUAGUUAUUGUAAAAGGCUUGGACAUACUUGUGUUGUAUGUUAUUCUCGACCUAAGUGUAGUUAUUGUCAUAGGCUUGGACAAAAUCGUGGCAGGUGUUGUUAUUUGCAUGAUCGACCACCUAAAAAUGCUCAUAUUCCUCAGUCUAACACCACAGGUAAUCAAUGAGAGUAUUUAUCUGAAAAGGAAUAUAAUGAGUAUCGCCAGUAUCGAGCAAGUACGCAAAUAUCUCUAUCCCCUUUCACUUUGAAUUCUAUUCUUUAUGUCCCUGGUUUUCCGUUUAAUCUUGCAUCGGUCAGUCAUUUAACUCAUACCCUAAAUUGUGGCAUACUAUUUUUUGAGGAUUCUUUUAUCAUGCAUGACCGUAGUACGGGACAAGCAAUCGGUGUGGUUUUUAUUACCUUACCUCCCUCUAUAGCAUGUCUAGUUACAGAGAAUUCUUUGGACAUAAUUCACAAACGUUUAGGACAUCCUAGUUUGUUCAAACUUCAAAAGUUGGUGCCUAGUUUGUGUAGUCUAUCCACAUUAGUUUGUGAGUCGGGCCAACUUAGGAAACACACUCGAACUACCUUUCAACGUAGUACCGACAAUCGUGCAGAGUUGAUUUUUUCCUUGGUUCACUUUGAUAUUUGGGGUCCUUGUAGAAUCACAACCUCAGGGUCUGGCUAUUUUGUUUGCUUCAUUUAUGAUUAUUCAAGAUGUACUUGGAUUUUUUUAGUGAACAAUCACUUGGAAUUGUUUCCUAUAUUCAAUAAUUAUUGUGCUGAAAUAUAAAAUUCAUUCGGUGUCUCUAUUCGCACCUUUCAUAGAAAUAUGUCCUUCCAAUUUCAACUAUUUGUGACUGACCAAGGAAUUACUCCUCAAACCUCUUAUCUGUAUACCCCUCAACAAAAUGGAGUAGCAGAGAAGAGGAAUUGAGACCUCAUCGAGUCUGUUCGGACUCUUCUCAUUCAAUACCAUGUUCCGCUGCGUUGUUGGAGCGAUGCAGUUAUCACAUCUUGCUAUUUGAUUAUUCAAAUGCCUUCAUCUUCCAUUCAAAACCAAAUUCCUUAUUCAAUAUGUUUCCUCAAUUAUCUCUAUACUCUCUUUUUUCCUUGUGUCUUUGGAGUAAAUUUUUUGUUCAUAACUUCACCCUGGGAAAAUAUAAAUUAACCCCUCGUGCUCUCAAAUGUGUCUUUUUUGGUUAUUCUCGAGUAUUGGAUAUCGUUGCUACUCAGCUUAUCUUCGUCGGUACCUUAUGUCAAUUGAUGUCACAUUCUUUUAGUCUCAACCUUACUUUACAUUUUCUGCCAAUCCCGAUCAUCCUAACAUGUCUAGGGUCUUACCUAUAUCGACCUUUGAUGAUCCUACUGUCAGUUCUACAUCUCUAUCCAUCUCACGACUCGAGACUACUCCCUAGUCGUAACACGGUGCUUAAGAGUCAUAUGUGACCCUAAGCUGACCCAUGCCCUGGCAUAAAAUAAUAAUUCCUGAAAGAUAAUAACAUACUGGGCAGAAGCUGAAAUGAAAAUAAUUAAUGAAAUAAUAAUGAUGAAAUAUGGGACAUCAUUCAAAGUUGGAAAUAAGCAUGUCUGACUUAAACCAGUACUGAAAAUUUAAACAUCUGUGUGAUUGUCUGAAAGCCUCUAAAUCAUGGUGAGUUGUUGGGACAAGCCCCCAAUUAACUCUGACAAACUGAAAUAAAUGAGGUACUGAAAAUAAACAACUGAUAACUAGUCCUCGGCUGAUGAGGAUUCACCAAAAUUGUAGCUGAGUGGUGCGUGGAUGUUCUAAGAGCGGUUAAGGUGCUGAACGUCCGGACCUAUAUUAUGAGAUAAUAUAGCGCAAAGAAGUAUGUGAUCAGUACUUUGAAUGUACUGAGUAUGAAUAUAUAAACUGAACAUGCAUGCAUGAACAUGUAAAUUGGAUGCAACAUCAAGUAUAAACAUGUGCUGAAUAAACUGAAUAACUGGGUAAUUGAAUAACUGAAUACUGAACACUUGGUAUAGCAAACUUGGACUGAACAUAAACUGAAACUGAACUGAGGACUUUGGAAGCUAACAAUAACCGACAUACCCCAACCUGAGCAAAUCAGGGUCUAACUUGCAACCCCAGUUGGAAAGGUGUCAGUAUCUUGCCAAGGAUACUACUAACAUUGGCUGGCGUGGAUCCACUAAAAUGUAUGUCUCAAAGGACAAGGGUGUUAUGCCUCUGACCCCUUAUAACCUAUGGUGGCGCCGUAGUUCUGAAACUCAGGGGCUGCUACUAAUGGUCUCAUCCUAACUGACGGGGGAGCCAAUGGGGGAGCCGUUAUCCUUGCAUUCACUCGGUGCUAAGUAUUACUCCCAACUGAUUGACUCUAAAGCAUAAACUGAAACAUGAGCUGGUGUUGAUAUGCUCAAAUCAUGGUAUUCUGAAAAAAACAAUGCAUGCAUAAUCUGAAAUGCUCAAGAACCUGUAAACUGAUUUAUCUUUAAACUCCUAGGUAUCAGAGGUAGUCGUGGUCUGGGGCUAGAUUUUUGGUUUUCUUUUUGUUGUGACAACGGGUCCCUCCUAACGACUCGUCACUGAUAACGAGUCGUAGGGUAGGGUCAUUAUCACUGGGUUGAAAUCUGGGGGUCCUUAUUGUUAUGGAAAUGACUCCACAUAACGAAUAGUUACGUCUGGUAACGAGUCGUUACUUGAGUCUUCGUCACUAGCAGCUGAUAGACUCUUAGGAAAAUUUUCGUAGCUUCUUGUCAUGUUAUCGGAUUAAGGCGAGAAUUGUGGCAUUUGAGAGUUAAUUCAAUAGCCUACCUCGCGGUAGGUUAGAGCUGAAAAUGUUGUGGUAUUACAAUCCUUAGUGCCACCAUUCUUACUUGCACCGACUUUUGAGGAAUCUACAAUACCUUCUAUAACUCCAUCUAUGGUGCCACCACUCCUGACUUAUCAUCGUUGUCCACGUACAACAUCAAGCUCAGAUGAUUCCCUUUCUGCACCUAACCCUACACUUACUACAGACUUGUCUCUCCCGCAUGCACUUCGAAAAGAUAUAUGGUCUACUCAUAAUUCUAACCCUCAUUAUUCCCUUUUAAAUUAUCAUCGUCUAUUAUCACUCUAUUAUGCCUUUAUAUCAUCUUUGUCCUUUGUCUCUAUUCCUAAGUUCACAAAAGAAGUACUUUCUCAUCUAGAAUGGCGAAAGGUUAUGAUUUAGAAAAUGUUUGCUUUACAUACGAGUGGUACUUGAGAGCUUGUUCCUCUUCCUUCAGGUAAAUCAACUGUUGAUUGUUGUUGAGUUUAUGUAGUGAAAGUUGGUCUAGACGACCAAAUAGAUCGACUUAAAGGCUCGCCUUUUUGCCAAGGGGUACACUCAGAUAUUUGGACUUGAUUAUAGUGAUACGUUCUCUUCCCUAGCUAAAAUAACAUCUGUUCUCUUUUUCUAUCCAUGGUUGCUGUUUGACACUGGCCUCUUUUUCAGUUGGAUAUUAAGAAUGCUUUUCUCCAUGGUGACCUUGACGCGGGCCUUUAUAUGAAGUAACAACCUUGUUUUGUUGCUCAAAAGGAGUCUAGUCUAAUGUGUUGAUUGUGGCGAUCACUUUAUGGUCUCAAACAAUCCCCUCAAGCCUGGUUUGGAAUGUUUCAACACAGUAAUUCAUAAGUUUGGCAUGAUUCAUCGUGAAGUUGAUCACUUUGUGUUUUAUCGAUAUUCUGCUCCAAAUCUAUGUAUUUAUUUGGUGGUUUAUGUUGAUGAUAUCGUUAUUACCAGCAAUGAUCAAGAUGGUAUCAUUAGUUUGAAGCAACAUCUCUUUAAACAUUUCCAUUCUAAAGAUCUCAGCAGACUGAAGUAUUUUUUAGGCAUUGAAGUAUGGGAUGUAAACCUACUGACACUAUGGAUCCAAAUACUAAACUCCUGCUAGGACAGGGUGAGCCACUCAAUGAUUCUGAAAGAUAUAGACGUCUAGUUGGUAAGUUGAAUUAUCUCACAGUGACCAGACCUAACAUUUCCUAUCUUGUGAGUGUUGUAAGUCAAUUUAUGGAUUCUCUAUGUUAUAAUUAUUGGGAUGCAGCUGUUUGCUUAUAUUGUGAGAUAUAUUAUGAUAGUUUUAAGUAAAGGACUACUCUUUGAGGAUUGAGGUCAUGAGCAAAUUGUUGGAUAUACAGACAUUGACUAGGCAGGAUUACCUUGCGAUAGAUGUUCUACAUUCGGAAAUUGUGUUUUAGUAGGAGGUAAUUUGGUGUCCUGAAAGAGUAAGAAAUAGAGUGUGGUUGAUCAAUUUAGUGCAGAAGCAGAAUAUCGUGCUAUGGUGUCGCCACUUGUGAGCUAGUUUGGAUUAAGAGAGAGUUAAAAAUUUAGAGAAAUCAGUAAAAUAAAACUUGUGUGUGAUAACUAAGCGGCUCUUUAUAUCGUAUAAAAUCUGGUAUUUCAUGAGAAAAUUAAGAACAUUGAGAUUGAUUGUCACUUUGUGAGAGAGAAGAUAUUUUUCAAAGAUGAUGUUACAAAAUUUGUGAAAUCGAGUGGUCAACUUGCAAAUAUUUUCACCAAGUCCCUCACUUGUCCUCGUAUUAAUUACAUUUGUUGCAAGCUCAGUACAUAUGAUUUUCAUGCACCAACUUGAGAGAGUGUAGAAUGUGAGUAGGAAUAGAAAAAGAAUAGACUCCCACUUGGAAAAAUAUUGUAAUAUCAAUGUCCUACUUGAGAAAAGAUUAUAAUCUCAGUGUUUUAGUUGGAAAAGGAGUCUAAUUUAGUGUCUAUAAAUAGGUCCCAUUGUAAAAAUUUAGAUACAACUCAAUUUAAUAAUAUUUUCUCUUUUAUUUUUCACUAGAUAUCAUUAAGAGCCCGUUUGGAUUGACUGGAUUUAAGUAACUUUUAUGCUUCAAGUGCUGAAGCUUAAUUUAUAUUGGAUAAAAAAUUUAUUUAUGGUAAAAAAGUUAUGGGAAAAUGCAUAAAUACACCCCUAAACUUGUCAUCAUAACUUACUUUAACACUUAAACUUUAUAAGUAAUUAUUUACCCCUUUAUUGUGUUUCAAGUGAAUUUAAUAUAUCCCCUCUAACAGGUAGAGUGUUUCCACUCUCUCAAACUCGCGAGAAAAUGAAAAAAGGGGAUAAAAAGUGAAUUUAUUCACCUUUCUUCUUCAUUCAUCACCACCAACAUAUGUACAAUCCACUCACUUCCUCCAUUACUCCUCCAAUGUCAUCAUCUCCAUUCUUACCCCUUCCAUUCCAUCAAAAUAAAGAAAAAAACUUAUUCUUUAAUUUUAAUUUCUUGAUAGGAUAGUGAGCUUCUCGGAGGUAUAUAUUGUGAUUAUUAAAGAGUGUAAAUCAUUAUACUUUAAAGAUUCCGAUGAAGGUUUUUAAUUGGGAAAAUGAAAUUGUUCGUGUCCGUGGCCGAUGUUAAUGGUGGGUUUUGUGAAUCGGCGGUGGGUAUUGUAGUGUUGACGACGGUGACAGUGUUGUUUCAUUUCCACGCCCCUAUCCUUCAUUGCUCCACACAUGCCACUAUCCUUCAUUGCUCCACACAUGCCACCAUCUCUUUCCAUUCUUCACUACCUCAAUCUCCUGUUACCAUUCUUUAAUUUCAUUAUAACUUUGUUUUCUUAUGAUUUUUGCUGCUGGCUGACAUUAUUGGUGUUGGUGAUGGGUAUUGUAAAAUUAUUGAUUUUGGUAAUGGAUGUUGUGAAAUUUACAAUCAUCGCAAAAUUUUUAAGAGUUGAAAAUUAAUUAGAGGUGGUGAAAAUUGUGUAAUCGACGGUGGCAGAGGUGAUAUUACUGUUGGUAGUAACUAUUGUGGAGUGGAGUUGAUGGUGGUGAUGGCUAUGGUGAUGGUGUUGUGAAAGCCUGUUGGGUGAAAAAAUUAAAAAGAAUUUUAAAAAAUACAAACAAUUUGAUUUUUUAAAAAUAAUUUGAUGUGGGUCGGGUUAAAUUUGAUCCACUAAUGACGUGGAUGAAUCAAAUCGCGAGUGGUGAUACAACACUAAGGCUUGACUUGGUCUGAGCCAUAAAGGGAGAAAAAUAAUACAUUUUAAAGUUGUUAAUGGGGUUAAAUAAUUACCAGACAAGUUUAAGUGCUAACUGCUAAAGUAAGUUUUGGUGACAAGUUUAGGGGGAUAUUUAUGCUUUUUCUCAAAAGUUAUAGAUUAAUCAACCUUCUAAGGCGCUGCCUAUGUUUCUCGGACUCUUCAAAAGUGUGAGCGGGUGUGUGUAAGAUUCUCAAAAGGUAGUGUAUUUUUGGAGAAUCCGACAUGGGUGCGACAUCGAAAGUGAAAACUUCACGCAACGUAGGGCGCUGUUGUAUCGCUUUUCUGCCCUGAAGUGAGAUAGGGUGAAAAAGCGAGCGCUUCAGUCCCAACAGUGAGAAGCAAGUAGUAGUGAAAGUAAGAAAUAACUUGCAUAAGCAAGGUUGACACCUCAGCUUAACUAGAGUUUUAUUUUAAAAUUUUGUAAAAACACUUGUAUGUCUUCUUUCCAAACAUUUUCCUCUCUUUCACUUCUCUUGUCGCUACUACUCUGAUAGUGUUGUCACUCUCUUUCAUCAACUGCAUGAUAAGUUUUUCUUCUUUUUUUCAUCUUCCUCGCUUUUUCUUUCUUCUCUUCAACUUUUCUCUAUUUCUCUGUUGAGAGCCACUGACUGCGCUGCUAGUUUAUUUUUCUAAUUUGCAAUCUGUAACUUCUCUGUUUUGAAAAAGUUGCUUUAAGGAAUAAUGCACAUGAUUUAUUUUUUGAUUUUCUCCUUUUUUUUACAUACAACUCCUAGUCAAAUUGGGAUUCCUAUUUGUUGUAGGAGACUGAUUAGUUAUUAUUUUUGGUAGCAAAUAGGUUUUCUUUUAUGGUAAGUUUAAUCUAUUUUUAGUUGUAAUAACACUAUUUAAGGAGGAGUUGAUGAUCAAUAAAAUACACAGCUUUACAAGAAAAGAACUCUAUGUUCUUCUCUAACCCAUCUCUAUUAAAACCAACAAUUGGUAUCAAAGCUAUUUUUCUUGAGGGACCUGUGAGUGAAGAGAUUGAUUCUGAAAAUAGUUUUUCACGAAUAGCUUUAUCCGUUUUUUAUGGUGAAAAUUAUCAAUUAUGGGUUGCGAGAAUGAAUACUUACUUGGAGGCUCUUGAUCUAUUGGAAGCUGUGGAAGAGGAUUAUGAAAUUAAUCCGUUGUCAAAUAAUCCCACCAGAGUCCAAAUCAAGAGUCAUAAGGAAAAGAAAAUCACGAAGUCCCAGGCGAAGGCAACUCUGUUUGCUUUUGUUUCAACAACUAUUUUUACAAGAAUUAUAUCUCUCACAUCACCAAAAGAAAUUGGGAUUAUCUGAAGAAAGAAUAUGUUGGAGAUGAAAGAAUUCGAGGAAUGCAAGUACUGAAUUCAAUAAGAGAGUUCGAGUUGCAGAGAAUGAAAGACUCCGAGACAGUCAAAGAGUACUCAGACAGAUUACUUGGCAUUGUUAACAAGGUAAGAUUACUAGGCAUUGAAUUUAAAGAUUCAAGAAUUGACAGUGCCCGAAAGAUAUAAAGCAUGUAUAACUACCUCCAAGAUUGCCUUGGCAGAGUUGUUAAAUUCUUUUCAGGCACUGGAACAAAGGAAACUUUUAAGGCAUGAUGGUAUGGUUGAAGCAGCCUUAAUAGCUAACCACAAAACUCAAAAAAGGGGUAAGAAUAUAAAAAAUUACCUACCUUGUGAGCACUGUGGAAAAUGGGUCAUCCACCAUACAGAUGUUGGAAAAGGCCAGACGUGAAGUGCAACAAGUGCAAUCAACUUGGCCAUGAAGCAAUUAUUUGUAAAAGCAAAUUUGAGAACCAUGAAGCAGAUGCACGUGUGGUCAAUGAAGAAAAAGAAGGCCAUCUUUUUGUUGCAACAUGUAGCUCAAGUAAGGUUUCAACAAAUUUUUGGUUGAUUGAUAGCGGUUGCACCAACCACAUGACUUAUAACAAGAGUUUGUUUAAAGAAUUAAAGCUUACUGAAAUAUUCAAAGUUAGGAUCUGAAAUGGUGACCAGAUAUUUGUUGAAGGAAAAGGAACUGUUGUCAUCAAAACUAGUUUAGGUAAUAAAGAAAUUUCAGAUGUUCUUUAUGUACCUAGUACUGAUCAAAACUUGUUGAGUAUAUGUCGGUUGGUAGAAAAAGGAUACAAAGUAUCCUUUGAGGAUAAACAUUGCUUCAUCAAUGAUGGUGCUGGAAAAGAAAUUUUAAACAUUAAGAUAAGAGGUAAACACUUUUUAUUUGGUCCAAUGGAAGACGUUUAUUUAGAAUAUGAAAAAGAUCAUAGGCUGGAAAAAUUAGAAGAUAAUCCUCUAAUUUAAAAAGCACAAACAAUAUGUGAAUCUGCUAGGUUUAAAGGAGCUUUCAAUGUCUCUAAAGGAAUUGAAGCUAAGGAGGAGUUAUCUAUGUUUCAGAAAAAUAAAACAGGUAAGUUUAAAUUCAAGAUGCAAAUGAAGAAGGAAGACAUGCCAAAAUGAUUUAAUAGUCAAGGGUUGCAUUCAAGAUAAGAAGUGAAUUUAGUUCACUACAAGAAAGAUGAAUUGCAGAUUUAUUCGCAAGGUCACUUUCGGUUAUCAAGUGUGGAGAUCACAAGACAGAAGAUCAAAAUUUUGCAGUUCCUAAAGCAAGGAGGAGUGUUAAAAGUUGCUUAAGGAAUAAUGCACGCGAUUUAUUUUUUGAUUUUCUCCCUUUUUUUACAUACAACUCCUAGUCAAAUUGGGAUUCCUAUUUGUUGUAGGAGACUGAUUAAUUAUUAUUUUGGGUAGCAAAUAGGUUUUCUUUUAUGGUAAGUUUAAUCUAUUUUUAGUUGUAAUAACACUAUUUAAGGAGGAGUUGAUGAUCAAUAAAACACACAGCUUUACAAGAAAAAAACUCUCUGCGUUCUUCUCUUACUCAUCUCUAAUAAAACCAACACUCUAUUUUGCAAUUUUUUUCUCUGUUUUGUAUUUUCUUUAUCUAUUUUGCUGUCUUUUGUCUAUGUUCUGCAAUUUUCCCUUUAAAAUGUUUUUCGUUGUUAUGGUAUCUAUUAUUUUGCUUUUUCAUUUAAGAAUGGAAAGAUUUGCUUUAUAUGUUAUUUCUGUUAAGUUCUUGAUUAUUUACCUAUGCAUUUUUUUUUGUAUUAAAUAGCGCUUUAGUUGAAAAAGUAUGCGCUUAGCUUCAUGCUUCUUGCUUUGGUGGAGUAAGCCCUUCUUGUUUUUUCCGCUUCUCGCUCUCCAAAACAGUGGCUGAGAGUAUAAAUAAAGCUGAGGAUAAAGAGUCGCCUUGCUUUAUUCCUGUUGUAGAAUGGAAGAAACCUAUGGGUUGACCAUUGAACAAUAUAGAAUACCCAUUUAUUUGCAGUAAGUCUCCUUAUCAUGUCAAUGAGAAUAUCUGCAAAUCUCAUCCUCUUGAAUGUAUUAGAGAAUCUAAUGAAUGUAUUAGACAUGGUAUGGUUUGAUCCUUUGGCAGGAUUUUCCGCUUAUGUAUAACACACCCUAUUCAUUAUUACAAGGUGUAUUGCUCAUACAUAGCAAAUCGUGGUAUUAUUAUUAGUUAUACAUGGGUUAUUACUACAUAGAUAAGCAUGGUUAAAGAUAGAAGCUCUCUUAAUACACCAAAAACAGUGGCUAAGAAAUAAUCCCGCAUAACUGAUCCCAAAACACAACUAAUCCAACAUUACUAGUGCACUCCUAUUCAGCACUAUUCUGACACACACUACCAAACAACCUCUAAGAAUAUAAAAGCCAAGAUACCCUAUCGUAGGCUUUUUCCAAGUCCAAUUUGAUCACCACAUUGACUGGUUUACCUUUUUCCUAAUAUCAGUCAUUAUUUCCUGUGUCAACAACACAUCCUCGAUAAUGCUUCCCCUUUACAAAGCCUGAUUCUAUCACAUAUCACCCAUGAAAUGAACUUAUUGAUAAAGUUACUCAUUGGUUUUACGUCUGAGUAGCUUUGGAUCUGAUCUUUCUUAGGUAAUAGCACCAAGUUUCUCUAAGUUAUAGCCUUUAGAAAUGUCUGUCCCUGAUAGAAAGUGCAUAGAAGUCUGAAAGCAUCCUAGCCUUCCUAACUCAUCUCAUAGAAGCUACCUGUGAAACCAUCUGGGUACUAGAACUUUUCCCAUUUAAGCUCAGACAGAGGUUCAGAGCAUAAUCCACAGUUUUUAAACUGCCACUAUCCCAUCAUAAAACCUUUUAUGCGACUGAGACUAGAUUUUAUAAAUGUUUGUGGCUGUU